AACAGGCAGCCGCCAGGCGUCAAA
rnacentral:misc_RNA from 1 species